rnacentral:rRNA from 1 species
AUUGAACGCUGGCGGCAGGCCUAACACAUGCAAGUCGAACGAGUGGCGGACGGGUGAGUAAUGUCUGGGAAAAUGCCUGAUGGAGGGGGAUAACUACUGGAAACGGUAGCUAAUACCGCAUACCAUCGGAUGUGCCCAGAUGGGAUUAGCUAGUAGGUGGGGUAAAGGCGAACCUAGGCGACGCUCCCUAGCUGGUCUGAGAGGAUGACCGGCCACACUGGGACAGCUACACGGUCCAGUCUCUUACGGGAGGCAGCAGUGGGUAAUAUUGCACAAUGGGCGCAAGCCUGCUGCAGCCAAGCGGCGUGUAUGAAGAAGGCCUUCGGGUUGUAAAGUACUUUCAGCGGAGAGGCGUUACCAGCAGAAGAAGCACCGGCUAACUCCGUGCCAGCCGCCGCGGUAAUAC